GACGAACGCUGGCGGCGUGCUUAACACAUGCAAGUCGAACGCUGAAGCACCAGCUUGCUGGUGUGGAUGAGUGGCGAACGGGUGAGUAAUACGUGAGUAACCUGCCCUUGACUCUGGGAUAAGCCCGGGAAACUGGGUCUAAUACUGGAUGCUACAUGUCACCGCAUGGUGGUGUGUGGAAAGGGUUUACUGGUGUUGGAUGGGCUCACGGCCUAUCAGCUUGUUGGUGAGGUGAUGGCUCACCAAGGCGACGACGGGUAGCCGGCCUGAGAGGGUGACCGGCCACACUGGGACUGAGACACGGCCCAGACGCCGACGGGAGGCAGCAGGGGGGAAUAUUGCACAAUGGGCGAAAGCCUGAUGCAGCGACGCCGCGUGAGGGAUGACGGCCUUCGGGUUGUAAACCUCUUUCAGCAGGGAAGAAGCCACAAGUGACGGUACCUGCAGAAGAAGCGCCGGCUAACUACGUG
rnacentral:rRNA from 1 species